rnacentral:rRNA from 1 species
UACGUAGGGUGCGAGCGUUGUCCGGAAUUACUGGGCGUAAAGAGCUCGUAGGUGGUUUGUCGCGUUGUUCGUGAAAACCGGGGGCUUAACCCUCGGCGUGCGGGCGAUACGGGCAGACUUGAGUACUGCAGGGGAGACUGGAAUUCCUGGUGUAGCGGUGGAAUGCGCAGAUAUCAGGAGGAACACCAAUAGCGAAGGCAGCUCGCUGGGACGUUACUGACACUGAGGCGCGAAAGCGUGGGGAGCGAACAGG